rnacentral:rRNA from 1 species
CCUACGGGGGGCUGCAGUGGGGAAUAUUGGACAAUGGGGGCAACCCUGAUCCAGCCAUGCCGCGUGUGUGAAGAAGGCCCUCGGGUUGUAAAGCACUUUCAGUGAGGAAGAACGCCUGGUGGUUAAUACCCAUCAGGAAAGACAUCACUCACAGAAGAAGCACCGGCUAACUCCGUGCCAGCAGCCGCGGUAAUACGGAGGGUGCGAGCGUUAAUCGGAAUUACUGGGCGUAAAGCGCGCGUAGGUGGCUUGAUAAGCCGGUUGUGAAAGCCCCGGGCUCAACCUGGGAACGGCAUCCGGAACUGUCAAGCUAGAGUGCAGGAGAGGAAAGUAGAAUUCCCGGUGUAGCGGUGAAAUGCGUAGAGAUCGGGAGGAAUACCAGUGGCGAAGGCGGCCUUCUGGACUGACACUGACACUGAGGUGCGAAAGCGUGGGUAGCAAACAGGAUUAGAUACCCCGGUAGUC